GAUGAACGCUAGCGGCAGGCCUAAUACAUGCAAGUCGAACGAGAAGUUUUUCUUCGGAGAGACGGAAAGUGGCGCACGGGUGCGUAACGCGUAUGCAACCUACCCUUAACAGGGGGAUAGCCCGAAGAAAUUCGGAUUAAUACCCCGUAGUAUCUAAAUAAGGCAUCUUAUUAAGAUUAAAGAUUUAUCGGUUAAGGAUGGGCAUGCGUAACAUUAGCUAGUUGGUGAGGUAAUGGCUCACCAAGGCUACGAUGUUUAGGGGUUCUGAGAGGAUGAUCCCCCACACUGGUACUGAGAUACGGACCAGACUCCUACGGGAGGCAGCAGUAGGGAAUAUUGGUCAAUGGACGAGAGUCUGAACCAGCCAUGCCGCGUGCAGGAAGACGGCCUUCUGGGUUGUAAACUGCUUUUAUACAGGAACAAAAAGGCCAUGUGUGGCAAACUGAGUGUACUGUAUGAAUAAGCACCGGCUAACUCCG
rnacentral:rRNA from 1 species